AGUGAACGCUGGCGGUAGGCCUAACACAUGCAAGUCGAACGGCAGCACAGUAAGAGCUUGCUCUUACGGGUGGCGAGUGGCGGACGGGUGAGGAAUACAUUGGAAUCUACUUUUUCGUGGGGGAUAACGUAGGGAAACUUACGCUAAUACCGCAUACGACCUACGGGUGAAAGCAGGGGAUCUUCGGACCUUGCGCGAUUGAAUGAGCCGAUGUCGGAUUAGCUAGUUGGCGGGGUAAAGGCCCACCAAGGCGACGAUCCGUAGCUGGUCUGAGAGGAUGAUCAGCCACGCUGGAACUGAGACACGGUCCAGACUCCUACGGGAGGCAGCAGUGGGGAAUAUUGGACAAUGGGCGCAAGCCUGAUCCAGCCAUACCGCGUGGGUGAAGAAGGCCUUCGGGUUGUAAAGCCCUUUUGUUGGGAAAGAAAAGCAGCAGGUUAAUACCCCGCUGUUCUGACGGUACCCAAAGAAUAAGCACCGGCUAACUUCGUG
rnacentral:rRNA from 1 species